GACCCAGCAAAGACAAGGCAGGACUCUCACUGAUGGUCUGUCAAAGGGCCCUGUAAUCUGGUGGGAGAAGGAUUCAUUGUUCCCGAGGGUACAGUGGCUUUUUGUUUUCAGAGCUCUUGCAACAACUAAGCCUGUUUUCUGGCUUUGCCCAAUCUGAAGUAGGAGGUGGGGGAGGCAGAGGUUAGAGAAGUCUGAGAAAGCAGCUCUCCCAGUGACCAGAGUGACUGGAAGGCACCCCUUGGCACGAGAGAUUGCUGGAGCAAGAUACGUCAAGGUGUGGACUCUGAUGCCCUGCCAAGAAGUCGAGCUCCGUGAGCACUGCCACGGAGGAAUUUCCUGAUCACAAUGGGCGACAACAUCAGAAGCCCAGUGGAAAGAAGAUGCUACCUCAGUGGUAAGAAGGGUCAAUGAGAAAACCUGGGCACAUGCUUCAUUUUGCACAAGGCCUAAACAAUCAGGGGUUCACUGGGUAUGAUGGCACACACCUGUAAUCCCAGCACCUCGGAAGGCUGAGGCAGGAGGAUCUCAGGUCAAAGCCAGCCUCAGCAACAGCAAGAUGCUAGGCAACUCAGUGAGACCCUGUCUCUAAAUAAAAUACAAAAUAGUGCUAGGGAUGUGGCUCAGUGGUCCAGUGCCUCUGACUUCAAUCCUCAGUACUCAAAAUAAAUAAAUAAACAAACAAAUAAUAAAUAUCCAGGGAUCCCAUGCUCAUGUAUAGAAAGCCAUGAAAAGUACUCCCAAACUCACCUGUGAGUUCCAUGUAAUAUCGGUGCCAUGCCAGGACGGGGUGGGCAGGUGAGGAAGCAGGGGCUGGACUAAGUGCAGCCUUCAAUGCUCACAAAUCGCCCUUCUACCUAGGUUUCCAAAUGCUAUUCCUCACCAGAGAAGCUUCCAGAGGGCAGAGGAAGGCUUCCUACUGUGUUAGAAAAGAAAACAAGAGGGCCCUGAAGCAACUUGAGCAGGCCCCACUGCACAUGUGGGCAUUUGCACAGAAAAUAAGGCAUCUAAUCUUGGACAAGAUGAACCAAGUCAGGGUAGAGGAGGCGCGGAGAGUGGCGCUCUCCUGAGGCUAGAGAGCUGGCCAUGGUGAGUACAGUGCAGGGGUGACAGGUGAGUGCCAUCUUACUGAGCUCGGUGGAGACCAAUCCAGGGCACCAGGGGUCUCCAGGAAACAAAACACUCAAAGCAGUCUCAGCAAGUUAACUGGUAAUGUGGGAAAUAGUGACUGACCAGUUGGGGAGCCAGACAACAUCCUAACUGGGUGACCAGCAGGGGGUAAGCAGACAAGUGCCCUGGGCAUGAUACCCCAGGAAGGACCAUAUUUACAUAGUGCCCCAGACAGACAUAUGUAACUUAAAUCCAUCCCGUCAAAAGGGCUAUUCUGUGACAUAACAGCUAGUAUUCUUCAAAAUACCAAUGUCAUUGAAGACAGGCUGUUCCUGGCCCUUAAGUCGGUCCCCGUGGCAACAAGAGCUGGUGCCUUUGCAGGCAUGUGACUUCGUUUUAGCCAAAAGGAGGCUGGCGGUCAGGAAAGGCGGCUCACGCUCAAGGCUCUUGGCAUUUGCCAAGGAAACACACCCUUCCAAGAACACCCCAUGCUCACUGGCCAGCCCUAGGACAGGAGGACAGCAGGGUGGCUAGGGAGACAGGAGCCCCUGGGAAGGGGAAACUGAGCAGGGUUUCACCCGACUGAGCCAAACUACUAGCUACAAAUUAGAAUGUACAAGUCACUUUUGGCGAGUGAGCUUUUUCCUGAGCUGCACUUUUUCCAGGACCACAUACUUUGCAUCUGAGACAGCUGUGAGCUAAGAGAAAAUGCACAGUGGAGUACUGCCAGGGCAGUCUUGCCCCACCCACGCUUCAGCUCUCUGUACAAAACUUUUGGGGCCUGAGGUCCUGUCCUCCCUGUGUGUGCAACAAACUCUCUGGGGUGGGCCAAGUUUGCUGAGAAAUUCCUUAAGAUAAAAGAAAUUGUAGCCAAGAAGGGCCAAGUUCCAGUUGGAAUUUUAUAUGUCAUGUAUUAUUUUUUAUAAACAGCACAGUAAGUAUUACAAAAAUUACAAAAAGGAUUAUAAGUUUUUUGUGCAAACUUUCAUCAGGUACUUUUCAGACUAAAAGACCUGACAUUUAAUACCUUUCUGUAAUAACUGAGGAUUUUAACUAGGGGUUAAUUUUUGGAGUCUUUGGGCUGGUCUGGGGUGGUGGUGUAAACAGUGAAGUAAGGUGAGUGGGGCUUCUGGCAGAUUAGAGAGUAGCAGUGAGAGGGCCAAGUACAAUCAGAAGGCCAAUUCAUCCUGAGAAAGGCGUCCACGUGGGGGGUCCAGAGGUGAGGCCGGGGCACCCCAACCACCUGGGGAGUGCAGGAGGAAGGCCGUGGUCCUGCUUGUGGUCCUGGCUUGUUCAGCACUGCAGGGAAGGAGACUGUCGCAUUAAAAAAAAAGAAAAUCGAGAUUUCUGAAUUUUUCACAUCAUGGCACUAAAAUAUGACUAGGAAAGCAUGUUUUUGCUAUCAAAACAGUAAUAUGCAGAGUACGUAUUAAUUACUGAAAGAGGAAAGUUUAUUUCAGAAGGAACGGUGACUGAAUAAGCUCUCCUAACAAAGCAGACAGUGGCUUAGAGACAGAGGCGACUCGAAAGCAUUGGUGAGCAUCAGCCAAAGCCAGGUUGUUUCUGUUGGUGUCCUCUUAGGAGGAGCCAUGCACAGCCGGGCUCCUGGCUCCCUCUUCCUGCAGUACUGGGCCCCCAGGCAGCCCCGUGAGGGCCUCAGGCUGUGGGCAGCCUCACAGGAAGGCCAGCGCACUGCACUCCCCUUGCAGAGUGGGGUCGGAGGCCUGAUUUUGAGGGAACCCAAAGAAAAGUCAGCAGCCCAGUGCUCCCCUGUACUCUGACCCCAGAGGGGCAGCUUCUUCCCAUCUGGCCUGUCCCAGGUGCCUCUGUCCAGCCCCCUGCUGCUGAUCUCCUGGCACCUAAGGCACAGCAGGCAGCGCCAGGGAGACCCUGGCACACGGGAGCUAGACUCUGCUGUCCUCUGUGCCUGGGCUCCACCCACAACUCAUAUGAUGUAUGUCCAGUUUGAGGCCAAGCAGAGAAAGCAUCCUAUGCAACGGGGCACUUCUGACUGGUACUUCUCCAAGCUCGUGCCACUGUUGCUGGGUGGGGCCCAUGAAGGCAGCCCACAGCACUCCUGAGGCAUGGUGGCGGUCCAUGAGCCUGAGGUCCUGCUGUCAGCGUUACUAGGCAGCCCCAGUGUUUCUCCACUUCUUCAAUCUGCACGACAGCAUUCGUGUGGAGUAAACGCACCGUCUUCAGUAAAACACCCAAGACCUGUCUCACAGAAGAAAGGUUUGGUAUGCCGUCAACUUAUGGGCUCCCAGUGCGGGAGGCCAGCCCCAGCAGACCUCACCCAACCUUGUGCCUGCCGCCGUUUCUCCCCAGCUCCCCCUGGCUGGGCCAAUCCUCAGUGACUACAGUUCUCUGCAGAGAAUGUCACCUACAGCCACAGGCCAGGUGGGACACUGCGUCAGGCGAAGCUGGCCACCCUACCUUGGUGGAUGUGCCCUUGCCAGAUGUUCUGUUGCCCUCUGGGGUUUGCAUCUGUUUUCUGACAGGUGCCUCUGGGCUGACAUGUGACAGUCGCUCCCUGCUCGGACACCCACCCAGUCACUGGGCGUCCUCCCAAGCUAGGCAUGGCAGCUACUGGAGACGUGCCAGGAGGCCAGCAGGCACCACCCUGUGAGCCUGGAGCCAGUGACGUCUCCUGCGGCAGGGGCAUGAGGGAGGCUCUGUUAAUAGUACCUGCCACUGUGGGUGCUGAGUGACAGGCUCUCGCCCUCACCAGAGAAUCAGUGCCUGAGAAGGGCUGCGGACCAGCCUAGGCCCUCUGCUAUCCUUCCAUCCCUUCUGCCACCGGAGGAUCCGGCCUGUUCCCUCCGGGGACGUAGCCACAGUGUGAAAGGAGGCUGGGUCCCUAUCUGACACUGAACCCACUGCUUCUUGACCUUGGACUGCCAGCCUCCAGAACCAGGGCAAUCAGCCUGGGAUUGUGCUGUCAUAGCAGCACAAGGACUGAGACCCACAGGAAGUGCCCACCAGGCUGGGCACCAGACACGAGUCGGCUGGUGCUGAUGCACCCAGGAGCAGGCCUGGCAUGCAGGGCCGUGUCACCAUGCAUAACCACAGCGGCUCCCAGCCUGGAGCUCCCCGGCUGUGCAAUGGAGGCAACGGUACUUCCUGCAGGGCUGCCAGUCAGAGAAAGAGGGACAUCACGAGACCCUUGGGUUGAGCUGAAGCAUUGCCACCAUGAGCAGAGCUAUACCAGCUGGGCCACACUUUGGGGAGCAGUGGGACAAUGAGAGGAGCAGGCUUGGAGCUAGAUGAGAAGGGGUGGUAGACAGGACAGUCCCCCUCGCUCAAUGAAAAUGCUUGUCCCACGGUUCUGAGUCAUUCGGGCUUCCUGGCCCAUUUGGUUAUCCAACUUUGAAAAAAAAAAAAAAAACAUGGACACCAAGAAAUA